GAUGAACGCUAGCGGCAGGCUUAACACAUGCAAGUCGAGGGGUAUAUUGUUUUCGGACAAUAGAGACCGGCGCACGGGUGCGUAACGCGUAUGAAAUCUACCUUAUACAGGGGUAUAGCCCGGAGAAAUCCGGAUUAAUCCCCCAUGGUAUUGACACAGGGCAUCCUGUAUCAAUUAAAGCUUCGGCGGUAUAAGAUGAUCAUGCGUCUUAUUAGCUGGUUGGUAUGGUAACGGCAUACCAAGGCAACGAUAAGUAGGGGUCCUGAGAGGGAGACCCCCCACACUGGUACUGAGACACGGACCAGACUCCUACGGGAGGCAGCAGUGAGGAAUAUUGGACAAUGGGCGAGAGCCUGAUCCAGCCAUGCCGCGUGCAGGAUGACGGCCUUAUGGGUUGUAAACUGCUUUUCUAAAGGAAGAAUAAUACCGAUUCUUCGGUAGAUGACGGUACUUUAGGAAUAAGCAUCGGCUAACUCCG
rnacentral:rRNA from 1 species